CGGCGCACGGGUGCGUAACGCGUAUGCAAUCUACCUUUUACAGUGGGAUAGCCCAGAGAAAUUUGGAUUAAUACCACAUAGUAUAUCAUUUUCGCAUGAAGGAGAUAUUAAAGUCACAACGGUAAAAGAUGAGCAUGCGUCCCAUUAGUUAGUUGGUAAGGUAACGGCUUACCAAGACUACGAUGGGUAGGGGUCCUGAGAGGGAGAUCCCCCACACUGGUACUGAGACACGGACCAGACUCCUACGGGAGGCAGCAGUAGGGAAUAUUGGGCAAUGGCCGAGAGGCUGACCCAGCCAUGCCGCGUGCAGGAUGAAGGCUUUCUGAGUCGUAAACUGCUUUUACCAGGGAAGAAAAAAGGGGAUGCGUCCCCUACUGACGGUACCUGGUGAAUAAGCACCGGCUAACUCCGUGCCAGCAGCCGCGGUAAUACGGAGGGUGCAAGCGUUGUCCGGAUUUAUUGGGUUUAAAGGGUGCGUAGGCGGCCGAUUAAGUCUGGGGUGAAAGCCCGUUGCUCAAAAACGGAACUGCCCCGGAAAC
rnacentral:rRNA from 1 species